GAUGAACGCUAGCGGCAGGCCUAACACAUGCAAGUCGAGGGAGAAGCCCUUUCGGGGGCAGAAACCGGCGCACGGGUGCGUAACGCGUAUGCAACCUACCUUUCACAGGGGGAUAGCCCGAAGAAAUUUGGAUUAAUACCCCAUAAUAUUAUUGGAUGGCAUCAUUUGAUAAUUAAAACUGCGGUGGUGAAAGAUGGGCAUGCGUCCUAUUAGCUAGUUGGAGUGGUAACGGCACCCCAAGGCUACGAUAGGUAGGGGUCCUGAGAGGGAGAUCCCCCACACGGGUACUGAGACAGGGACCAGACUCCUACGGGAGGCAGCAGUGAGGAAUAUUGGUCAAUGGUCGGAAGACUGAACCAGCCAUGCCGCGUGCAGGAAGAAUGCCUUAUGGGUUGUAAACUGCUUUUAUAUGGGAAGAAUAAGGCGUACGUGUACGUUGAUGACGGUACCAUAUGAAUAAGCAUCGGCUAACUCCGUG
rnacentral:rRNA from 1 species